GACGAACGCUGGCGGCGUGCCUAAUACAUGCAAGUAGAACGCUGAAGAGAGGAGCUUGCUCUUCUUGGAUGAGUUGCGAACGGGUGAGUAACGCGUAGGUAACCUGCCUGGUAGCGGGGGAUAACUAUUGGAAACGAUAGCUAAUACCGCAUAAAAUGGAUUAUCGCAUGAUAAUCGAUUGAAAGGUGCAAAUGCAUCACUACCAGAUGGACCUGCGUUGUAUUAGCUAGUUGGUGGGGUAACGGCUCACCAAGGCGACGAUACAUAGCCGACCUGAGAGGGUGAUCGGCCGCACUGGGACUGAGACACGGCCCAGACUCCUACGGGAGGCAGCAGUAGGGAAUCUUCGGCAAUGGACGGAAGUCUGACCGAGCAACGCCGCGUGAGUGAAGAAGGUUUUCGGAUCGUAAAGCUCUGUUGUAAGAGAAGAACGAGUGUGAGAGNGGAAA
rnacentral:rRNA from 1 species